rnacentral:rRNA from 1 species
GACGAAUGCUGGCGGCGUGCUUAACACAUGCAAGUCGAACGGAAAGGCCCUGCUUUUGUGGGGUGCUCGAGUGGCGAACGGGUGAGUAACACGUGGGUAACCUGCCCUUGACUUUGGGAUAACUUCAGGAAACUGGGGCUAAUACCGGAUAGGAGCUCCUGCUGCAUGGUGGGGGUUGGAAAGUUUCGGCGGUUGGGGAUGGACUCGCGGCUUAUCAGCUUGUUGGUGGGGUAGUGGCUUACCAAGGCUUUGACGGGUAGCCGGCCUGAGAGGGUGACCGGCCACAUUGGGACUGAGAUACGGCCCAGACUCCUACGGGAGGCAGCAGUGGGGAAUAUUGCACAAUGGGCGGAAGCCUGAUGCAGCAACGCCGCGUGCGGGAUGACGGCCUUCGGGUUGUAAACCGCUUUCGCCUGUGACGAAGCGUGAGUGACGGUAAUGGGUAAAGAAGCACCGGCUAACUACGUGCCAGCAGCCGCCGCGGUAA